AGUCUCCGAUGUCAGAGACAAUGCCCUAUUCACAUGGGACGACGCGGUGUUCACUUCGCGAGGAGCUUCGAUUUCAACAACAGAUGCAGUUGGGUGUGGGGAAUGGGACAUAGCACUUGACUUUAAUAAAGUUUUGACUUGA